rnacentral:rRNA from 1 species
UUCCGGUUGAUCCCGCCGGACCCGACUGCUAUCAGAGUGGGACUAAGCCAUGCGAGUCAACAUAGCAAUAUGUGGCAUACGGCUCAGUAACACGUAGUCAACAUGCCCAGGGGACGUGGAUAACCUCGGGAAACUGAGGAUAAACCGCGAUAAGUCACUACUUCUGGAAUGGGUAGUGACUCAAACCUACAUGGCCCCUGGAUUGGACUGCGGCCGAUCAGGCUGUUGGUGAGGUAAUGGCCCACCAAGCCUGUAACCGGUACGGGCUCUGAGAGGAGGAGCCCGGAGAUGGGCACUGAGACAAGGGCCCAGGCCCUAUGGGGCGCAGCAGGCGCGAAACCUCUGCAAUAGGCGAAAGCCUGACAGGGUUACUCUGAGUGAUUUCCGUUAAGGAGAUCUUUUGGCACCUCUAAAAAUGGUGCAGAAUAAGGGGUGGGCAAGUCUGGUGUCAGCCGCCGCGGUAAUACCAGCACCCCGAGUGGUCGGGACGUUUAUUGGGCCUAAAGCAUCCGUAGCCGGUUCUGCAAGUCUUCCGUUAAAUCCACCUGCUUAACAGAUGGGCCGCGGAAGAUACUAUAGAGCUAGGAGGCGGGAGAGGCAAGCGGUACUCGAUGGGUAGGGGUAAAAUCCGUUGAUCCAUUGAAGACCACCAGUGGCGAAGGCGGCUUGCCAGAACGCGCUCGACGGUGAGGGAUGAAAGCUGGGGGAGCAAACCGGAUUAGAUACCCGGGUAGUCCCAG